AAUAAGAUGGCCGAGCUUUUAGGCGUUAGAUUGUAAAUCUAAAGACAAGUAGAACUUUCUUAUUA
rnacentral:tRNA from 1 species